rnacentral:rRNA from 1 species
AUUGAACGCUGGCGGCAGGCCUAACACAUGCAAGUCGAGCGAGCGGCGGACGGGUGAGUAAUAUCUGGGAAACUGCCUGAUGUAGGGGGAUAACGCCUGGAAACGGUAGUUAAAAACGCAUACUAUCAGAGGUGUGCAGAGGGGUGUAGCUAGUUGGUGGGGGAACGGCUCACCUAGGCGACGAUCCCUAGCUGGUCGGAGAGGAUGACAAGCCACAUUGGAACUGGGACACGGUCCAGACCCCUACGGGAGGCAGCAGUGGGGACUAUGGCACAAUGGGCGCAAGCCGGAUGCAGCCAUGCGGCGUGUGUGAAGAAGGCCUUCGGGUUGUAAAGCACUUUCAGCGGGGAGGCGUUACCCGCAGAAGAAGCACCGGCUAACUCCGUGCCAGCAGCCGCGGUAAUAC